CCUACGGGAGGCAGCAGUGAGGAAUAAUGGUCAAUGGACGAGAGUCUGAACCAGCCAAGUAGCGUGAAGGAUGACUGCCCUAUGGGUUGUAAACUUCUGUUAUAUGGGAAUAAAAUGUACCACGUGUGGGAUUUUGGAUGGACCAGAUGAAUAAGGAGCGGCUACCUCCGUGCCAGCAGCCGCGGUAAGACGGAGGAGCCGAGCGUUGUCCGGAUUUAUUGGGGUGAACGGGAGCGUAGGGGGAUUGUUAAGUCAGUGGUGAAAGUUUGCGGCUCAACCGUACAAUUGCAGUUGAAACUGGCAGUCUUGAGUACAGUAGCGGUGGCCGGAAUUCGUGGUGUAGCGG
rnacentral:rRNA from 1 species